rnacentral:rRNA from 1 species
UACAGAGGUGGCAAGCGUUGUUCGGAAUCAUUGGGCGUAAAGGGCGCGUAGGUGGCCCGGUCAGUUCGUGGUGAAAGCGCGGGGCUCAACCCUGCGUCGGCCAUGAAUACUGCCGCGGCUGGAGCACUGUAGAGGCAGGCGGAAUUCCGGGGUGUAGCGGUGGAAUGCGUAGAGAUCCGGAAGAACACCGGUGGCGAAGGCGGCCUGCUGG